CUCUUCUUUGCCCUCUCAUCCAGUUGUUAUCACAUGCUCCCAGCACCUCAUCCUUUCUGUUACAAAUUCCCUUAGAAUUCUCUAGGAUUUUCCAGCUCUAUUCCACAUCCCUAUCAAUACCACCCCUUCAAAAAUAGCAUUGUCCUUGAGGAUGUAUUGUAGAAACAAAAGCAGUAAUUCAAGCCGUGGUCUAUCUAGCACAUUCACCCAUUUCUCAUCGAGAAGAUCAAUCCAGUUCAUCCUAACAUUUGUUCCCUUUGCAGCAGCAGUACUCACUUUCCC
rnacentral:misc_RNA from 1 species